GAUGAACGCUAGCUACAGGCUUAACACAUGCAAGUCGUGGGGCAGCAUGAAGGAAGCUUGCUUCCUUUGAUGGCGACCGGCGCGACGGGUGAGUAACGCGUAUCCAACCUUCCCCUUACUAGAGGAUAGCCCGGCGAAAGUCGGAUUAAUACUCUAUGUUCUCCUUUGAUGGCAUCAGAUGAGGAGCAAAGAUUCAUCGGUAAGGGAUGGGGAUGCGUCUGAUUAGCUUGCCGGCGGGGUAACGGCCCACCGAGGCGACGAUGGGUAGGGGUUCUGAGAGGAAGGUCCCCCACAAUGGAACUGAGACACGGUCCAUACUCC
rnacentral:rRNA from 1 species